AUGACGGGUAUGAAGGCACCAGACGUGCUUGAGCUUACAGAAGCCGGACAUGCUAGAUGUCCUGCCCACGUUGUUGGACAUUGUAGUGAGCUGCCUGGACAGAAGAACGCGGCGCUACGCCACAAUGCCACGCAGCUACCAAGACCCGGGCAAGAUGAUGGCCAUGGUGAACCACUUGUCCCGGGAGGAGUCGGCGCCGACGUGGUUGUCAGGAGCGUGAUAUCGAACCCUCGGAAAUCCCUCUUGUCUCCAACCUACUGUUGCAAUGGUGCACAAGGACCUCCCGUCCCCAUCACCAUUCCGCCGAACAGGUGGUGUGCAUGCAUAAGCGACCUCCACGUCGACGUUCUCCGGCGCAUCAUCUCGCUCCUCCCCACCAAGGAUGGCGCCCGCACCCAGAUCCUCUCCACCAGGUGGCGCCCCCUCUUCCGCUCCGCCCCGCUCAACCUCGGCGUCGUUCUCCGCCGCGAAGACGAGCCCGUCCCCUCCAGCCUCGUCUCCCGCAUUCUCGCCGACCACCAGGCGCCCUGCCGCCGGCUCUCCCUUACCUGGUACGGCUACAAAUCUGACUAUGUCUCCCCAUUACUGAACGGCUGGCUCCAGUCACCAGCCUUCAAAGGCCUCUCUGAGUUCGAUCUGUGGCAAAACCGCAAGGAAAUCGGCAAGGAACUUUGGCUAGUGCCAAGGGAGGAGGUUCCAUAUGCACUGCCGCCGUCCGUGCUCCAGUUUUUACCCGCCCUCCACAUCCUCAGCAUCAAGUGCACCGGCUACAUGAUCCAUUUCCCCUCUGCGGCCACAUUGGCCGGCGAUCUACAUUUCCCCAAACUCAAGCAGCUCACACUUAAAGGUGUCGUCGUCUCGGAGGUCGUCCUCCACCGUGUUCUUGCUGGAUGCACUGCACUGGAGAGCUUGGUGCUUAGUGAAUUGGAUGGUGUCCGUGGUGUUCGGGUCAACUCGUCCACCCUUAGGAGGCUAGGUGUGUGGUCUGGUUGGCCAAAUGAACCGGAUGAAUUGUUGCAAGAAGUCAUUGUUGAGGAUGCCCCUCUCCUAGAAAAGUUGUUCCUGUCUGGACUAGAUUGUGACCUAUCAGUCCGUGUGCUUUGCGCACCCAAACUGGACUUCCUGGGUUCUCUGCCAGAAGGGUUCACCAAAGGCAAGCUUGAAACAAAUGUUCUUCAGGGAUUUCUCGCUGUCAAUUUGAUGAAUGUGGUGCGAGCCGUUAAAGUGUUGGUUCUGCGCAUUUCCCCUCCAAGUGUCGAUGAUGCCAUUGACUUUGUGACAUUCUUUCCUUGCUUGGAGAAGUUAUAUGUCUUGUUAUAUCGGACUGGGGCAUCAAAAAGAGCACGACACAGUUUUCCACUUGGCUAUAUUGAAUGUUUGGAGCUCCAUCUCAAAAAAGUAGUGCUGAUAAACUAUCAAGGAACACCUAGAGAUGUUGAUUUUGCAAGGUACUUUCUUUUGAAUGCAAAAGUGUUAGAACAUAUGGAGUUUGCAUCACGCACUGCAAUAAAUCGAAAGAAAUACAUUUCUGAAUGGAGAGCUGGCCAGCACAGAAAACUACAACUGGAUAACAGGGUUUCUCAAGGUGCUCAGUUUAAUUUUAGUUGUGACUCUUACUACGGAGACGAGAUACAUAUUGGGCACAUCCAUGAUCUGACUAUUAGCGAUCCCUUUGAUAGAUCAUCGUGUCGAUGCCAUGACGUUGAUUUCCUUUGA
rnacentral:rRNA from 1 species